rnacentral:lncRNA from 1 species
UUUAUUUUAGUAUUUUUGUCAGAAAAAAUUUAUGUGACUACAAUAAUUUUUAGCGGGAGGAAUUGUGACGCCCCCAAAUCCGGAUACUUGAAACCCGAACUCAGUGCUUCACGAUACCAUUUCUAUAAGCUGAAUAAUACAAUAGUAAUAUUACAUUCAAACUUAAUUUACAUACAUCAAAGUUUACUUCCCAGGUACGAGACCUUCAAAUACAUUCCUUACAAUACUUGAAUAGAUAUUCAUACAGCUAUAACCAUUAACUCAUAAUACACACUUAUUCGACCAGCUUUCCUUUUCCUUUGUUCGUGCCUGAGCCUUCAGGUUGCUCAUACAUAACUGAAAACAUUUAAUUUAAGCAAG